CCUAUCGCUGUGUACUGCCAAGGUACUUGCCCAAUAGUGCUAACGAAAUAAUCAGCUAAGGUAUCUCGAAUUCUCUGCACAUUUGCUCGACUUCCAACAGUGUCCAUUUCCAAUUCAGUGUCUUCAAAUCCUACAACAUUCAAAGUAUCUUCCAACUGAAAUCCAUAGCGAUCACGAACGAAGUUAUGCAAUACACAGCAGCCUUUAUCAAUGUCAUCUGUAAAAUCAACACUCGUCUCCAAUGCUCGGUGAAAUAUUCUCCAUUUGUUACAGAGUAUUACAGGCUAAUGUCAAUAAAAUCCAUGUUCGCAGCAUGAAACCUCGCCAAAGACUGACUUGGCAUUACGUGGAAUAUAGCGCUUGAUAGGCAAUCUGCUUCACGUCCGCGGAUUUCGACGGAAGAGCAGCGUCCGCUGUUUUCAGCUCUCGUGUGACGUUAGCCUUAAUAUGGAGUAUAUGCCGACGUACAGGGUAUACACAAUAGAAUGGUACAAUUUUAGUAGAUAAUAGAAAUUUAUUUCUCACUUCACACGGGCACAACAUGCACCGUCAGCGGCAGCAACUGUCCAAGUUUCUCAUGCGCCACCAGCAGUUCGAUUUUCAUGCUGACUGUGUGGCCGCGUAGCCAGUUUCAAAGCUGGUGUUGAAGCAGGAUAAGCUCUGUUUUGAGGUGUCCAGAUCUGUGAUUACAGUGCAGCGUGUGUUUCGUGCACGGUUUCAAAAAGAUGCACCACACAAGAAUACAUCAGCAGGUGGUACGGACUGUUUGUAGAAACUGGAUGCUUGUGUAAAGGCAAGAAUCCUGGUCGACCUCGUGUGUCUGAUGACAACACUGAAAGAGUGCGUCAGGCGUUUCAGCGAGUCCCCACAAGUCAGUGGGUAGAGGAAGCAGGGAAUGAUGGUGUGGAAGGUGCUGCGUAAGCGGCUAUGUUUUAAACCGUACAAGAUUCCAUUGGUUCAGGCCCUUAAACCAGCAUACAAAGUGAAAAGGCGUGACUGUUGCGAGGAGACGAAAUUGAAAAAGGAGGAAGAUGGGUUGGUAGAAAGACUAAUCUCCGAUGAAACCACAUUCCACAUCAGUGGCAAGAUGAACAGACACAAUGUCCGUAUCUGGGAACCGAGCGACCACAUGCACAGACUGUGACUGUGACUGACUGGCGAGUCAUUUUUGGACAUGUUGGAAAGCUGGUUGUUACCCCAACUGAAAGGCCCGCCGCAAAUUGAACCCAGCACAGGCCCAGCCCACGCCGAGCACACGCCUAGCCCAUGGAUCCCACGUCCAUGGGCUGGAUCGAGGUGCACGAAGUACUCGAGGGGAGUUUUUGUUAACUGAGGAAGUUCCAGACAACGUUUUUAGUGGUUGUUUCCGCCUCAACAGAAUGCAGUUUGACGAAGUGCAUAAAUUAA